UCCUAGCCCCGAUUGAAGCUUUGUUUGAGCUCUUUUUUGUUUUUUUCAAACAAAAAAAGCGAGUGUGGAAAGCGGGAAAUUGC
rnacentral:sRNA from 1 species